UUCAUGAACUUUAUCAGAAAAAAUCUUUGUUUUCAUGUGGCAAGGCUUAAUGCGUAAUCAAAACUGCAUUAAGGUCAAUCGGCCUAAAAUUUUGUAUUAAUUUUGUAGAAAUUGAACAUCAUUAUAGCAUGGCUUACGAAUCAACCCAAUUAUUUUAGACAACUAAAAUUGAACAGGGGUGUAAGUAGGUAAAUAGGUGUUCCGGUAAUUCCUCCCUAUCUAUUUAGUACAUAUAUGCUUGGAAUAAGGAUCAACAACAUUUAACUGGUCUAGGUUAUGUUCAGGUCUUGGAGCAACAUCCCCUCACCAACAAACAAUGCCUUUCAAUUGGUUUUGGAUCAGGUUAAUUGGUGGUGUAGGGUGUCUUUUAUAUUAUUUACACUUUGAUUCUAUCUAUUAUACCUUUUAAAUUCCUAUACCCACAAAAUACCACUGCCUGCCUAAUUGACAAACUUUUCCAUUUCUGCCACUACGUUAAUCUGUCUAUUUGCCAUUUCUGAGGAGCGAGUACUAAAACCUAUUCGACUAGAGAGCCAUAAAACAUUUUUUAUUAGUUGAUAUGCCAUGUUCAAACUUUUUGCUAGAUUCUAAUAUUCCGUGUAUUCAGCAGAAAAGCUACAAAAUAAAUAUUGUUAAAACUUUGGGGAAAAGUGUGUUUCGAAUGAUAACUCUUCAACAGUUCAACUGACGUGUUUCUAUCUUUAAGUGGACUCUACUAUUGUAAUUUGAAAUUAUUAUAUCCUAUAAAGAGAUUUAGCAUAUCUAAUGUGAGUGGGUGAACUUUAGAAGAGAAAGUGUGGAUUGAUAACCAAUGAUUGAAAAUCAAUAACAACCUCAUAGUUAGAGAAAGUGUGGAUUGAUAACCAAUGAUUGAAAAUCAAUAACAACCUCAUAGUUAGAGAAAGUGUGGAUGGAUAACCAAUGAUUGAAAAUCAAUAACAACCUCAUAGUUCAUAGUAGUUUGUAAUACAUGAAUAUAUAUUUUAUCAUAAUUUCAGCCACUGAUUUUCUAAUCAAUGGCUAUAAUUCCACACUUCUCUCUCCACCCUCACUUUAGAGAAGCCAAACAUUGCUGUAAGAUAUCUAUGAAUAUUGAUUAUCCUUUUCUUUUGAUUAAUGGAAUGCUAGUUAAUUAUCUUUAGUAGACCAUGUAACUGUACUUUCGACAUUCAUGCUCAACUGUGGAACAUAUACAAACUCCUGCUUUUCCUAAAGGGGUAGAUAUUUUUGUUCAGGUUCUGUAAAAUCAUUCCCAUCCAAAAAUUAUUCCCAGACAUGUUUUGCAUGUUGUUAUGUAUAUAAGUCAAUCCUUUUUUAUCCUAAAGUGUUCCAAGAAAAUGAUGUGAUUUUCAACUUCAG
rnacentral:lncRNA from 1 species